rnacentral:pre_miRNA from 1 species
UGGAUGGUUUGGAGACAGCUGCGGUGGUCUAUACAUCUAAUAACCAUCCAUGCAAUCUCCAAACAACCUA